rnacentral:rRNA from 1 species
AUUGAACGCUGACGGCAGGCCUAACACAUGCAAGUCGAGCGAGAGGCGGCCGGGUGAGUAAUGUCUGGGAAACUGCCGGAUGGAGGGGGAUAACUACUGGAAACGGUAGAUAAUACCGCAUACCAUCAGCAGUGCCCAGAUGGGAUUAGCUAGUAGGUGGGGUAACGGCUCACCUAGGCGACGAUCCCUAGCUGGUCUAAGCGGAAGCCCAUCCACACUGGAACGGUGACACGGUCCAGACUCCGACGGGAUGCAGCAGUGGGGAAUAUUGCACAAUGGGCGCAAGCCUGAUGCAGCCAUGCCGCGUGUGUGAAGAAGGCCUUCGGGUUGUAAAGCACUUUCAGCGGGGAGGCGUUACCCGCAGAAGAAGCACCGGCUAACUCCGUGCCAGCAGCCGCGGUAAUUC